UACGUAGGGUGCAAGCGUUGUCCGGAAUUAUUGGGCGUAAAGAGCUCGUAGGCGGUCUGUCGCGUCGGCUGUGAAAACCCGGAGCUCAACUCCGGGCCUGCAGUCGAUACGGGCAAACUGGAGUGUUGCAGGGGAGACUGGAAUUCCUGGUGUAGCGGUGAAAUGCGCAGAUAUCAGGAAGAACACCCGUGGCGAAGGCGGCUCUCUGGGACGGUACUGACUCUGAGACGCGAAAGCGUGGGGAGCGAACAGG
rnacentral:rRNA from 1 species